AUGCGUAGGGUACGAACGUUAUCCGGAGUUAUUGGGCGUAAAGAGAUGCGUAGGCGGCUUGAUAAGUCUUAAGUUAAAGUCCACGGCUCAACCGUGGAAAAGCUUUAGAUACUGUUAGGCUUGAGGUAUAGAGGGGUAAAUGGAAUUCCGAGUGGAGUGGUGAAAUACGUUGAUAUUCGGAAGAACACCAGUGGCGAAGGCGAUUUACUGGCUAUAUUCUGACGCUAAGGCUCGAAAGUAUGGGUAGCAAAACGGAUUAGAUACCCGUGUAGUCCAUACCGUAAACGAUGAAUGCUAGGUGUUUGGUUCAACUGUCUGAGGUCUUCGGAUUUUUAGAUGGAAGAAUUAAGUGCCGCAGUUAACGCGAUAAGCAUUCCGCCUGGGAAGUACGGCCGCAAGGCUAAAACUCAAAUGAAUUGGCGGGGACCCGCACAAGCGGAGGAGCGCGUGGUUUAAUUCGAUGGUAAUCGAAGAACCUUACCAGGGUUUGACAUGUAUCUGCAUGCCCCCAGAGACGGGGGAGGCCUUCGAGGGUGAUACACAGGUGCUGCAUGGCCGUCGUCAGCUCGUGUCGUGAGAUGUAGGGUUAAGUCCCGAAACGAGCGCAACCCCUAUCCUAUGUUACAAGUGUCUUAGGAAACUGCCUCGGUAAAACGGGGAGGAAGGAGGGGAUGACGUCUGGUCCGCAUAGCCCUUAUGUCCUGGGCUACACACGCGCUACAAUGGUCGGUACAACGGGGAGCCAAGCCGUAAGGCGGAGCUAAUCCUUCAAAACCGAUCUCAGUUCGAAUUGUGGGCUGAAAUUCGCCCACAUGAAGUUGGAUUCGCUAGUAAUCGCAGAUCAGCCAUGCUGCGGUGAAUACGUUCUCGGGUCUUGCACACACCGCCCGUCAAGCCACGGAAGUAGGUGAUACUCGAAGGUGUUCUGCUGCUUGCAGUGGGGCAACUAAGGUAACAUUUAUGACUGGGGCU
rnacentral:rRNA from 1 species